rnacentral:rRNA from 1 species
UACGGGGGGGGCAAGCGUUGUUCGGAAUUACUGGGCGUAAAGGGCGCGCAGGCGGCUGCUCAAGUCAGGCGUGAAAGGCCUGGGCUCAACCCGGGAAUUGCGCUUGAUACUGAAGAUCUUGAGUUCGGGAGAGGUGAGUGGAACUGCGAGUGUAGAGGUGAAAUUCGUAGAUAUUCGCAAGAACACCAGUGGCGAAGGCGGCUCACUGGCCCGAUACUGACGCUGAGGCACGAAAGCGUGGGGAGCAAACAGG